ACAUGCAGUCCCUGCUCCCCGCUCAGCUCAGGCAGAACAUGAACCUGGGCGUCAGAUCCCUUCACUUUCAGGGCAGCCUGAGUGGCGCCAUCAGCACAAGCCUGCUGCCCUCCUCCCUCAUGCAGGGCCAGAUCUGAGCCACGUGUCCAUGCAGCAGAGCAGGCUGCCCACAACCUCCAUGAGCAUCACAGGGCCCGGCUACAGCCACACGGGACCCACCUCGCAGGGGGUCCCCAUGCAGGGGCAAGGCACCGUUGGCAACUAUGUGUCUCGGACCAAAAUCAACAUGUAGUCCAACCCAGAUACCUCCUCU
rnacentral:lncRNA from 1 species